AGGGUGUUUCUGAGAGAUGAGAGAGUGGAGGAGAAGAGAGAUGAGGGAAGAGGCUGCAAGUAAUCAUUUUUACCAGGAAGUGGCUAGGCCUCCAAGGCUAACUUUGUAGGGAAAUUAGGAAGGCAUGGCUGAAAGCUAUGUUAUGCAUAAACGGUUCUACAUGCUCUGCAAGUGCUUUUAGCUGAAACAGGGGGUCUUCCAAACAUCAGGUACCUUCUUGGGGAUAGCAGAAGACACAUCACGAGACAUAAAAUGAGUAACCAUAAACUGUGACAGAAUGGUGGAUUAAGACCUCAUCCCUCUUCUUUAGAGGUUACACAUGAAGAUAGUACAUGAUCCAAAUAUUCGGUACAAAUGCAGCACAUCUCCUGUGAUAAAACAAGCUUGAAAAACUGCAUGAAAGAAUGUGUGAUACACAGGCUCAGCAGGCACCUUGGCCAAGCCCAGCUGGUUGUUGGGAUCUUUCCUUCACAAUAGUUGUCCUCGGUAUGUGGCCAGCUGCCAGAAAGGCCAUGGCCCAGGGCCUGCUUUUGUCAUCAGAACAAGGGCAAAUCAGUUUCUGCUUCUGACUUUCAAGGUGUUACAAGAACUCAAAGGUAAUGCUAAGCAACUGAGGCAUGUGUCAGGACACUAGCUCCAGGGAAAGAUCUAGUCUAGGAUCUAAACUCACGUGGUCCCAUAUCAAGGCAAAGGGUGACGUCUUUGGUUUCUUUUCAGCUUCCAAUUUUUGGAUAAAGCUGCUUUGGGUACAAGGAAGGGCCCAACAAUAAGGCCAAUCAUUUUUAUUGUGUUUACACUGCACUGGCAUCAGGAGAGCAUUGACUGCAGCUGCUGACUCUUGGCUGCACAAGUUUGCCUGGUGAUACCAUCUGGUUCCAGCCUCAGUGCCAGACCACACACAGUGUGACUUCGAGGACGUUGCCAUCGUCAGGCUUCAAGCAGAUGAGAUGCCAACCCUGCUGACCUGUGGGACCAGGUGAAAUGAGCAUCUCUGGGAGGUCUGCUUUGAGGAAUGAGGAAUAUUCGCACCUCCAUCCUGACCCUCCCUGGACGCCUCCCCAUCAUCACUGGCCCCCAGGCACGCUUACUCACCUGCACCGAAGAUUAAAAUAAACUGCUGGCAGGUAUAUUUAAAAUAAUCUAUAUCAUAGAAGUAUUUAUAUAUUUUACACUGGAUUCAUUUUCUCGACAUGAUUCUAGACAUGUGAGUUUAUUCACCUACCUUUACAGUCAAAAAUCACCGAAAAGCAGCUCUCUUUUAUCCUUCAGAAAGAACAUGCUGGAAAUGGAUUUAUGUCGAUUUAAAAUCUGGUAUUGCAGUUCCCGUUGUGGCUCAGUGGUUAACGAAUCUGACUAGGAACCACGAGGUUAUGGGUUCGAUCCCUGGCCUUGCUCAGUGGGUGAAGGAUCUGGCGUUGCCGUGAGCUGUGGUGUAGGUUGCAGACGUGGCUCGGAUCCCACAUUGCUGUGGCUGUGGUGUAGGCUGGUGGCUACAGCUCCGAUUCGACCCGUAGUCUGGGAACCUCCAUAUGCUGCAGGAGCAGCCCUAGAAAUAGCAAAAAGAGAAAAAAAAAUCUGGUAGUAAAUAGAAUGAAUUUAACCCAUAUUGAUUCAUUUUGUACUGUCAUCAGAAAGAAAAUAUGCCACAUGAAAAUAUAUUCAAAAUAUCUUGAAUUCGAACACAUCUCUCAAAGAAUUAAAAGAGGAGUUCUCUUGUGACACAGAGGGUUAAGGAUCCAGUUUUAUUGUCCCUAGUGAGGCUCAGGCUCGAUCUCUAGUCCAGGAACUUCCACAUACCACAGACAUGGCAAAAAAAAAAGGAAUUAGGAUGACAUUUGUGCUGUCCUCAUUCAUAUUAUCACGAUUUCCUACUCUUUUCUAAUGACAGUGAAACUGAGAUAAAGGACAAAUGAGACACGGAAGCGGCUUUCCCCACUCACUUGUUGAAAAGAAUUCCUCUCUAACCCUCCCAGAGACUGGAGGAAAAAGUGAAAGAAAUGACUAGAGUUUCCUUAUUUCUGCCAUGCCUGCCCUGGUCAAAGUCGUGUACACCAGAUGCUUUGUGUAAAUGACACCUGGGGAGGGAGGGGAGCAGGAACCCGAGUGACGCAGGGGCCAACCCUUCUAGAGAUCUUUGCAGCAGACACGGAACCUGGAAGGUGGAGAUAACGAGACCUUCUGCCUCCAGCAUCCCCAGGCCUGGGAAGGGAGUGAGGCGUCUGCCACACAGGUGGCAGUUGGUUUUAAUCGGCCUUUGCUGGAUUCUGGUUGACUAGUCUAGAUCUGUACAAACUGGUAGUCAAAAGCAAAAGAUCAGCCCUCCAGGAGCAAAUGAUUGCCAUCAAUCCCUCCUAACUUCAGGAAUAGGAACUAGGGGGAUAACUCCUUCAGCAGGCCUGAGUAGGAUCAGUAGUAAUCCCUUUGGUGCUUGCAGCAGGCAUCGCAUAAGCACCUUGCCCUACAUUAUUUUUUAUUUUUAUUUUUUUGUCUUUUUAGGGCCCGAUCCAUGGCAUGUGGAUGUUUCCAAGCUAGGAGCUCAAUCAGAGCGCAGCUGCCAGCCUAUGCCGUAGCCAUAGCCAUAGCAAUGCCGGAUAGGAGCUGUAUCUGUGACCUACCCUGCAGCUCAUGGCAAUGCCAGAUCCUUAACCCACUGAGAAAGGCCAGGGAUCGAACCAGCAACCUCAGGGAUGCUAGUCAGGAUCUUAACCCGCUGAGUCACAAUGGGAACUCCCCCCUCCAUUAACUUAGAUCUUCAAAUGGCGAAGGGAAAGGGGGAGCAGAUUUGUAGCUCAAGUCCAAGGUUACAGAGGAGAUGAACCUGGACCGCUACUCACAGAUAGAGGAGCACCAGGCUGGUAACCAGGAGAAGCCAGGUUUCUACAGAAAAGCUUGGAAUCAGGUCCAUGGCCACCAUCCUCUGCGGUUCCCUCCUCUGAGCGUCCCUUCAGACGUGUGUGCUGCUCUUUGCCUCUGAGAGUGCAGAGGUCCCCUUGCUGCUCACUGGAGAGUCAUUGGGGCUGGAGGUUUAAGUGCUGGGAAAGGAGGUGGGGCUGGAGCUGCAGCCAAUGGAAGAGCCCCCUGUGCUCCACCUGCCAGAGGCCUCUCUGCCUCGAGAGUUGGCAAAACAUUAUGGACACGCCAGUUAGUCCUCCCUUGAUUUAAUAUUCUGUGAAAAUUCUAAAAUCAACUCAAUCAGUAUCAUCAGCAAGUCCAAACAUUCCAUAAAGACAAAUAAAACCACUGGUCUUGAACCUCCUUUAACUGCCUUUGUCACUGUGGCUGCCAACACAACAAAAUAUUUGAACUCAUUCAACAAGAGAAAUCUACUGAUUGUUACCUGUGCAGUUUUUCUGCCUAGAAAGUCCCCUGUGCCCCUUAUAAACUCCUAAUCAUCCUCAAAAGCAGAGACCAGGCAGAACCUUCUGAGUUACAGUCUUUCCUAACCAACUUCCUUGACCAGAUAGAACCAUUUCCUUUGCUGGGGUCUUCUGUGCCCUGCCCACAAGUCGAUUGCCUCCAGCACCAUUGCUGGUUUCCUCACCUCCAUCCCCUCACCACAUGGAGAGCCUGGGCACAGCCUGGGUAUUAGCCACAGUUAUGUCCCUGGUACCUGGCACAGGGCUUUCAGAGUGAGCCUCUAGAAGGGUCGAUGGACUUGAGUAGGGGGAGGUAAGACCAUGGGGCUCCUAGUGUCCUUUCCCUGUGGCUCUUUGGUGACCACGCCAUCUUCCUGGAUUGUUAAUACAACAAGAGAGCCUGGAUGGGCCUUGGACGAUCCAUCAGGAUUCUGUAGACAGGAGGCCCCCGAGGGAGAGGCAGGACAUGGAGGAGAUGGUGGUGGCUGCACCAAGGGUAGCAAUGCAGGCUGGCUCCUGUCCCACUGACAGGUCUUGAGUUGACAGUGAGUUAGACAGAGGCUAAAACAAAAACGGCCCCUCUUUAUGGGAAAACCAACAGUUCAAUAACAGUGGGUGUGAAGGAGGUGAGGAGGGAAAGCAGCCCAGUGGCAAGUGGACCCCAACCUCAUUUCCCCCCAGUGGUAUGGCUUAUAUAGAAGAAAGAUCUCCAAAAAAUUGGCGGGAGGUUUUUCUCCAGAGCAAAGGGCCUCAGCUCUGAUGGCUUCCUGCUUCUUGACCAGUGGGGCAUUUUUUAAAAUGCAGCUGGUAGGAGGAGGCCAAUAGACAGUGAGAAGUUAGUGUCACCUGGGAGCCCCUGCCAUAUACUUGGUGGGAGAGACUCAAGGGCUGAGGGUUCUGAGGUUACUCUGGCUCAUUAGUACCCCCUCUGAACCAGGUUCAGAGAAACCAUGCAUAAUGUAAAGAACAAAACCGGAGUUCCCAUCGUGGCUCAGGGGAAACAAAUCUGACUAGUAAGCAUGAGGAAGAGGGUUCGAUCCCUGGGUUUGCCCAGUGGGUUAAGGAUACGGCAUUGCCAUGAGCUGUGGUAUAGGUCUCAGAUGCGACUUGGAUCUGGCAUUGCUAUGGCUCUGGUGUAGGCCAGUGGCUACAGCUCUGAUUCAAACCCUAGCCUGGGAAUCUCCAUAUGCUGCAGGUGCAGCCCUAAAAUAAAAUAAAAAUAAAGUAAAAUAAAAAACAAACAGCAAAACCUCAGAGUUCCCAUUGUGGCACAGCAGAAACGAAUCGGACUAGGAACCAUGAGGUUGCAGUUUCGAUCCCUGGCCUCACUCAGUGGGUCAAGGAUCUGGCAUUGCCAUGAGCUGUGGUGUAGGUUGCAGACGCGGCUCAGAUCCUGAGUGGCUAUGGUAUAGGGUGGCACCUGUAGCUCUGAUUUGACCCCUAGCCUGGGAACCUCU
rnacentral:lncRNA from 1 species